GUACUGGUACUGGUGGUGUGGUGCGCAUUUUAGACUUUAGAGUUUGAUGAAAUUACCUGCCAAUGCCAUCGAAAUAACCCCAAGUCCCCAUCCGGCACACCGUAGACCCCCACCUCACUUUUCACUUUUGUUUUUCUUCCUUCUCUGUUUUCUUUGCUCGUAUCCAUGGCCGCGCCUCAACCCUAGCUACCGGCGCUGCUACUCUCUACCUCGGCGAGGCCAAACCUCAUAGGCCGCUCCAUCCUCAAGCCCGGCCUUCCUCAACCCCUAAAGAGCCGCCGGCCCCUGCACCAGCAGGACCAAGACGCCGCCGCCUCCGCCCUUACUGAAGCAGAGGUCGUCGUGGCCGCCACCCCCUCCAGAAGGACUCGCUGCCGCUCCCGCGCCCUGUACUUCAGCAGGACAUUUCUGCCUCCACCGCCCCUUUUCUCCGCUGAGGCGACAAGACAACCAAGGUGCGAUUGCAAGACUGAUAAGAAAUAAUUGUGUCAAAUUCUGUGGGUUUCAUAAGAAGUACUAAUGGCGUGCUGAUCCUCUGGGAGAAUGGAAGGGAAUAACCUACCCUCUGGAAACUUUAUGCAAGAGACAGUUCGUAAACCAAUGCAAAUGCGUUCUCUAAACUCUGGAAAUCAGGGCUUCAACUCUCAGAUACCUGUUUUGUUCCCCAUGCCUAUGAACCAGGUCACAGACUCCGAUCACUUGUCAGAACUUCAGUUUGGAGAACGCGGGAAGAGUGAUCACCAUCACCACCAUCAAACGAAGGACUCCAUGAGUGAUGAUGAGGAGCAUGAUCUGAAUGAGGAUGCCACUGAUGGCCACAUUGGCAAGGGAAAGAAGGGAUCUGCAUGGCAGCGGAUGAAGUGGACUGAUUUAAUGGUUAAGCUUUUAAUUACUGCAGCGUCUUACACCGGGGAGGAUCCAGGAGCUGAUUUAGGAGGUGGGAGGAAGAGCUGUGCAAUGAUGCAGAAGAAAGGCAAGUGGAAGGCAAUAUCAAAGGUCAUGGGCGAGCGAGGCUGCAAUGUGUCACCACAGCAGUGCGAGGAUAAGUUCAAUGACCUCAAUAAGAGAUACAAAAGGCUUACGGAUAUCCUUGGUCGGGGCACAACUUGCAGGGUAGUGGCAAAUCCAGCACUUCUGGAUCACAUGGAUAAUCUGUCUGACAAGUUGAAAGAUGAUGCAAGGAAGAUAUUAAGCUCAAGACACUUGUUCUAUGAGGAGAUGUGCUCCUACCAUAAUAACAACAGGGUUAGUUUGCCUGAAGAUCCUGCACUGCAGCGUUCGCUGCAGCUCGCUCUUAGGUGUAAGGAAGAAAAUGAUCUGAAGAGAGGAGUAAGUGGAGACGCUGAUGAAGAUGACCAAACUGCAGAGUCUGAUUCUGAAGAGGAUAAUGAUGAGGAGCAUCAUCCGACACAUAGCAGCAAGGGGGCCCUACCCAUGCAUAAAAGGAUGCGGCAUAUGACGGAUCAUGAGGAUGUAGGUUUUGGCAACUCUUCUAGCUCACAUGACUGUAGCGAGAGGACUAAUCUGCACGGCAUUGCACUAGAUAUCAACAAAGUUUUUCUAGAUGGAACUAGCUCGGCUUUGGCACAAAAAGACUUGGCAUUACAAUUAGAACAGCUUGAGAAAUAUCGCUUCCAAAUUGAAAUUCAGGAACUGGAGCUUGCAGAACAACGCUUCAAAUGGGAGCAAUUCUGUAAAAAGAAGGACAGGGAACUUGAAAGGAUGGAAUUGGAGAGUGAACAGAUGAGGGUUGAGAAUAAGCGCCUGGCGCUGGAGGUAAGGCGCAAAGAGUUAGAGUUUGAACUCAAGGUGAAAGGAAAUGACAAUCAUUGAAGACAUUUACUCGGUUGGUCAAGACUGGCCUGUAAGAGGCCCACGCCAAGGAGUUGGCACGCCAAAUCGUUGGCGGACGUUUUCGCCGCCUCAGUCUCGCCCGCGCGUUGGCGCAAAUGUGAACGAGAGCGGGCGUAUUUCUGGGGACUUACGGUUGGCUCGCCAAUUUCAGGGUAGUGAACCAAUCGGUAGCCAUGGGAGCGCUGGCGUGCCAAUUAUUGGCGAGGCGCACAUCGGCCAUAAACCAAACAGCCCCUAAGUUGCUGACGGCUUCUGAUAUUAGCCUGGAAUGCUGCUACAUUGUCCGGCCAUGUACUUUGCUAGGUGUCGCAGGAAUUGGUGUAUUAAUUAUGACAACCAUGAGGUGCCUCUGUAAUUCUUUUGUUUUGGUUGUAUGUUCUUUGCUCCAGCGAGCAUGAUGUGUACAUGUGACUUGUAAGUUGUGUUGAAGGCUAGCUCACUGCAAAUACCUUAGAGGAGCCAUGCAUGUUGCAUGAGUGCUGUCCUAAAAUUCAGAUUGUUCAUCAAGAAUCUGUGCAAGUAAUUCAGUCUAAGCAUUUCUUUUCUUUU